rnacentral:rRNA from 1 species
CGGCACGGGUGAGUAACACGUAUCCAACCUGCCGUCUACUCUUGGCCAGCCUUCUGAAAGGAAGAUUAAUCCAGGAUGGCAUCAUGAGUUCACAUGUCCGCAUGAUUAAAGGUAUUUUCCGGUAGACGAUGGGGAUGCGUUCCAUUAGAUAGUAGGCGGGGUAACGGCCCACCUAGUCAACGAUGGAUAGGGGUUCUGAGAGGAAGGUCCCCCACAUUGGAACUGAGGCACGGUCCAA